ensembl:lncRNA
GGAAUUAAUACUGGGGAGGGGAGGGAGAAGGAGUGUCAGGUGUUGAGUGGGCAAGUCAGACCAGCUGUGGGAAUUACAGUUAUUGUCACUGGAGACAACACAGCCCUGACCUCCAGUAUAAGCUGCUGGAAGAUAUUAACACCUAAUUAUCAAGCCAGGGGUGCAUCUUACACCUUAAUCACUGGUGAGGUGAGACUGACAAAAAAGAGGAAGGGAGGUGUUUUCCAUGUUCCUUUCAGCAAGCAUCCAUCCUCUAACAGGGGGUCAUCACUUGCAGCAAAUGACAAUUUCCUUUUAGCCCUUUCAGUCUAUAGAAAAGCACAGUAACUUCAUUUGCUAGCAGGUAGGCAGUGGAGGUGAGAAUCGGAUUGAUCUGAAAUUGACCCUGAGGUCACUGCCUCCUUUAAAUUGGGUGCUACAGACAAAGUUUCUUUUCUUCUUCUCUGGCUCCUGCCAGCAGCCAAGCAGAGUCCUCAGUCAUUGGGGCGGGAGGUGGGGAGAGUGUUAGCAAUUAUUUAAAGGGAUUCUGACACCAGGGUUGAACCCCUACCCCAAACUUAAUCCAAGUGGAGACCUUUUUUUUUUUUUUUUUUAACCGAUGGUGGUUAAUUAAAGGGGCCUCCCCCCAUGGUGUGCCUCUGGCUUGUUUAUAUUUUAAAAUGAGGUUCAUUCCUGAUGCACAAGAAAUGGCAGGGGGGAAGCUGACAGUCGGGGUCUCUUACUGGGCUGACUUGAAGAAAUAGGGAAUAGAAUUUCCUGUUUCCUUUUACAUUUUUUCUUCCUUAUUUCACCCCGCCCCCCCCAACUCCCCCACUUCAAAGUCCUUUCAAAGCAUCUUGGGGUGCAUAGAUACGCCUGACAGUGCUGGAAAUGCUGCACUGCUUUUCAGAAGGCCAGGGGACUCUGCUGGGCACGCAGGCCUGGCCUCGCUCUCCGCCCAGCGGUGAGGGUCGCCAAGAGGGAGCAGAAAUCCCUUUCACCGAUUUUGAUCUUCUGGACCGCAGUUGAGAAGCGCUGUCUCGUUCCUUCGCUUCAGUGGGUAGUGCCUACUGGCGGUUCUGUCCUGAUGCCCAAAGACUAUUGCGUUAUUCAUUUUCCCCAGACUUUCCCUGCCCCCUUUUUUUCUCCUUCUCUUUUUCUCCGUUUAAAGUCUCAAAGCGAAGCAGUUCCUCACCACUGCGUCGUAGAAGGAAAGCGCACGUGCUUGUUUGGAGAUCUGGACCAGAGCUCUCCCUUCCAGGGAAGGAGCAGUGGUUUGGGACGGGACAGGCUUUCUGGAAGCCUCGGGGCUGCUGGGCUGCCCGGGAGGAGACCUCCCAGCAACGGCUGGAGAUCCAUCACACCUGCGCAAGCAAGGCCCCGGGGCAUCACUUUCUUUCCCAGGAGGCAAGGCCUUCCCACGUGUUUCCCACGUGCUCAGCGCUCUGCUGGUCCAGUGAAGCCCGUGGACCCAAAAUGCGCUGCUUUCAGAGUCUUCCCCAGCUGAGUUGUUGGGGAUAAAAUUCUUGGUAAAAAAUGGGAUGCGUUUGAAACACUCUGGUCUCCAUGGGGACCCUGGUUAAUUAAGAUGUUACCUCUGUUGGCGCUCCAAUUUGUUUCCCCUACCUGACCAGCCCGGUGGAAAACGCCCCAAGGUUGGUGUAACCAAAUGGCACGUGACCCGUACGUGCGGUAAACCCGCCCUACACGUGUGUGGGCGGAGAACCAGCUCCACUCCUAAACUCUGCUGAGAGGUCUUGAGUUGCAGCGUUUGGGCCUCGAAAUCGGGUUCCUGCUCCAGAGCAAGGGGUUCCCUAGUGCUCCAGAACUUGGAGCUUUCAGCAGCGGCAAGCACUGUGACGGUCACCGGCUCCCCACAGGAAAAAAAAAAAAAAACCUUUCCCCAUCUUUUAGUCCAGGAUUCGAUAAUGGAGGAUCCUAGUGUAUGGCUCCACGUGUUGGCACGAGAAGACAGGGCCUGAAGAUCUCUCGGCUACACGCUCACCAUUGAAAUAUGGCCAGGCUUGAGGAGUACCGUAUCCUGACGUCUCAGAAGCUGGACACUGAGAUAGAGGACACUGCUGAGUAGCGUGCUUUCUCUCCUGGUCACAGAGGGUUAUGGAAAUGGGGGGCAGGGGGAGGAAGUAAAGGGAAAGUGGGGAGGGGCUGCCCCAUCCCCUCUGUGUCAGAUGCAAACACUCUGCACGUGCACCCUCGUCAUCUUCGCAUCAAGCCUUCCGUGUAGGUGCCUUUCUCACAUUGCACAUGAGGAAGGCAAGAAUCGAGAAGGCAACUCCACCAGGGCGAUGUUGUUUACACACCACAGUGACAGAACAGAGUCCAGUCCAGUCC